GAGAAGGAGAAAAAAGUUAUUCCUACCAGUUAUGAGUCACCUUAUCCUCAUCUGGCUGCCAGUGGACGGAACAACCCCUGCCCUGUCUUCAGCUGGCCGGAGCAGCAGUUUCCUAGAAUGUCCUACAGGUCUACCUCAUUGCCCAGACCUCUAAAUGUCGCUGAAUCUGAUGGCGAGGCGCAGCAUGACACAAGGGUCAUCACAGAUAGCCAACUCCUAUCUGCCUCCCCAGGCAAGACUUAAAGCUUUGACUGUCGGUUUGCGGUUAUAGUUCAAACUUGGCUUCAGCAUUCAGACGACCAGGAGCAGCAGAAGCAGCACCAACUACACACACAUGAGAGCCGGAGCACAGAGAAAAAUAUGAAAAAGAUAUAUAUUGGCAAAACUGCUCUCAAAACCCAGAGAAACGGUUGCAAACAUCAAAAAAG
ensembl:lncRNA